rnacentral:misc_RNA from 1 species
AAGUCGUAACAAGGUUUCCGUAGGUGAACCUGCGGAAGGAUCAUUAUUGAAUAAACCUGAUGUGGUUGUUGCUGGCUCUCUAGGGAGCAUGUGCACGCCCGUCAUCUUUAUAUCUCCACCUGUGCACCUUUUGUAGACCCAGAAAGCUUGAGAAAUCAAGUCGUUUGGGCCUAUGUCUUAUCAUAUACCCCAUAGUAUGUAUUAGAAUGUAUCAGUGGGCUUCGUGCCUAUAAACACUAUACAACUUUCAGCAACGGAUCUCUUGGCUCUC